GAGAUGCCAAGGGUGCUGGGAUUUAGGGGUGGACAUGUUCAGGAGAUCUGAAGAGCGUAAAACAUCAACGGGACCUGUGGCCAAAUUGGACACGUUAGGUGGACUCUGAUCCUUCUGAGGUCUUGGACUGCAUUAGCCAACCUGGGGAUGCCCCGGAGCCUUUAACUCGUUACCACCCCUUGCAAGUUCACCUCACCACACGCGACUAUGUGAAGCCCCAAGCUGAGGCUGCCAGCAGCUGUGCCACUCCAUAAGCUGCAAAGGGAGAUUUUGGCCACAAGGAGGACCGAGCAGAGACCUGAAGAUGAAAACACGGGUCUCCAUGAAGAGUGUGC